UCAAAUAAGAUAUUUUCAUAACAAAAUACCAUUCAUCCAAUUCAUGCAUCGUUUCACAAAUUAUGUCAGAAAAAUACAUUAUAAUUUACCGAUAAAUCUAGAAAAAGUGAAACAUUACUUACCUCGAACGCAUUCCAAUAAAUCCACAUAAUUCUAUAAAUUUUCUUCCAAAAAUUCUGUUCGUAGAUCAUAUCGCGAUAUCCCAUGAUUAAACAUCCACAAUCCUAUAUAGAAUCAAUUUCAAUAAUUAAAAAGAAUACGAAUACCAUAUUUCAACGGUUUAGAUUGGGUCCGAUCAUCUAAUUUUAUCUAAUCAAAAAUCUAAUUAGGACCUAACGAUCCAAAGUUUGACUAUCAGAUCAAAUCGGAUUCGAGGUGAUAGGAUCGAGGUUUCUUCAUCGAUUUCAUAAAAUCAAGUGGAGAAAAAAAAUCAGAAGAGAGAGAAUUCAUGAGGUACAAUUCGAAUUGAUCAGGUGACACAAUCCAACAUUACGAUUGGUCCAAUAUCUCGAUUGGUAAAAUCAAUAUGAUCAAAUCAAGUCAUGGC
rnacentral:lncRNA from 1 species